CAUAUUGCUUUAUUUUGCUCACAUGAUAAUACUGGAUACCUGAUGAAGUACAUUGAUCCAGUCCUAGGACUAGAUCAAAAUUAAUUCAGUCCUUGGACUGGAUCAAAAUUAAUUAAAUAGUGAUUUAUUCGCAUGAGAUACCAUUUCAAAUCCUCCAAUUCAGACUGGACUAGAUUUCAAGUCCUCGCAUUUUGAUCCAGUCCUCGGCUUCUCCUCGGACUUGAUGAAAUUGCGCGGACUUGAAAUUUAGUCCAGU